rnacentral:rRNA from 1 species
AGCAGCCGCGGUAAUUCCAGCUCCAAUAGCGUAUAUUAAAGUUGUUGCAGUUAAAAAGCUCGUAGUUGAAUUUCGGGAUCAAUGUUUCGGUCAUGCCGUUGGUAUGUACUGAUAUUAUUGAUUUCUCACCUUCUAAAGAACCGUAAUGCCAUUAAUUUGGUGUCACGGGGAAUUAGGACUGUUACCUUGAAAAAAUUAGAGUGUUUAAAGCAGGCUCACGCUUGAAUACAUUAGCAUGGAAUAAUGAAAUAGGACAUCCGAUUCUAUUUUGUUGGUUUCUAGGAUCGAUGUAAUGAUUAAUAGGGAUAGUUGGGGGCAUUAGUAUUCAAUUGUCAGAGGUGAAAUUCUUGGAUUUAUUGAAGACUAACUACUGCGAAAGCAUUUGCCAAGGAUGUUUUCAUUAAUCAAGAACGAAAGUUAGGGGAUCGAAGACGAUCAGAUACCGUCGUAGUCUUAACCAUAAACUAUGCCGACUAGGGAUCGGAUGAUGUUAAUUUUAUAAUGACUC